GAUGAACGCUGACAGAAUGCUUAACACAUGCAAGUCAACUUGAAUUUGGGUUUUUAACUUCGGUUUGGGUGGCGGACGGGUGAGUAACGCGUAAAGAACUUGCCUCACAGCUAGGGACAGCAUUUGGAAACGAAUGCUAAUACCUAAUAUUAUGAUAAUAGGGCAUCCUAUAAUUAUGAAAGCUAUAAGCGCUGUGAGAGAGCUUUGCGUCCCAUUAGCUAGUUGGAGAGGUAACGGCUCACCAAGGCGAUGAUGGGUAGCCGGCCUGAGAGGGUGAUCGGCCACAAGGGGACUGAGACACGGCCCUUACUCCUACGGGAGGCAGCAGUGGGGAAUAUUGGACAAUGGACCAAGAGUCUGAUCCAGCAAUUCUGUGUGCACGAUGAAGUUUUUCGGAAUGUAAAGUGCUUUCAGUUGGGAAGAAAGAAAUGACGGUACCAACAGAAGAAGUGACGGCUAAAUACGUG
rnacentral:rRNA from 1 species